rnacentral:misc_RNA from 1 species
UCUCCGUUGGUGAACCAGCGGAGGGAUCAUUACCAAGUUUUUCUACUCCCAAACCCCUGUGAACUUAUACCUUUACUGUUGCUUCGGCGGGUUAACGCCCCGGAAGGCCCAAAAAGCCGCCGGAACCAGGCGCCCGCCGGGGGACCCAAACUCUUGUAUUUCUUACUUUGCAUGUCUGAGUGGAAUCAUAAACAAAUGAAUCAAAACUUUCAACAACGGAUCUCUUGGUUCUG